rnacentral:misc_RNA from 1 species
CUUAUGCUACUUGAUGAGGCAACAAGUGCACUAGAUGCCGAGUCAGAGAGAUUGGUCCAAGAGGCUCUAGACCGUGCUUGCUCAGGAAAGACCACCAUUGUAGUUGCACACAGACUCUCAACUAUAAGAAAUGCACACGUCAUUGCUGUGAUCGAUGAUGGGAAAGUUGCAGAACAAGGAUCUCACUCUCAUCUACUGAAAAAUCAUCCUGAUGGGUGUUAUGCCCGGAUGAUACAGUUACAAAGGUUCACACAUAACCAAGUCAUCGGAAUGACUUCAGGUUCAAGUUCCUCAGCUAGACCGAAAGACGACGAAGAGAGGGAAGGUUGAUGAGAUGAAGAGAAAGCCCCAGCAGUAAGAGUAUAUUCCCACAUACCCCUUGUGAUU